ensembl:misc_RNA 7SK 7SK RNA
GGAUGUGAGGGUGAUCUGGCUGUGACAUGAGUUGCCCAUUGAUCGCCAGUGUUGAUCCAACUGAUAUGGCUAUUUAGGUGGGUAUCCCCUUUCUCCCUAAUGCUCUAUGUGCAUCCCUGGCAAAGCUGAGCACCUGACUGAAGAGGACAACUAACCCUCAACCCCCACCCCAAAUGAGGAGGACCGUCCUUGGUCGAGGGUAUAGGAAUAGCUGCGUGCCUCUACUAGAAUCUGGAAACAAGCUCUCAAACAGUAAACCAAGUUAGUGGGAUUUCCUAACACCCAUGGUUUGAUUGCAGAAAAAGUAAAUCAUUUCCUGGAUUCUGUUGGUU